rnacentral:rRNA from 1 species
UACGUAGGGGGCAAGCGUUGUCCGGAAUCAUUGGGCGUAAAGCGCGUGUAGGCGGUUCGGUAAGUCGGCUGUGAAAGUCCAGGGCUCAACCCUGGGAUGCCGGUCGAUACUGCCGGACUAGAGUUCGGAAGAGGCGAGUGGAAUUCCCGGUGUAGCGGUGAAAUGCGCAGAUAUCAGGAAGAACACCCGUGGCGAAGGCGGCUCUCUGGGACGGUACUGACGCUGAGACGCGAAAGCGUGGGGAGCGAACAGG